rnacentral:rRNA from 1 species
AUUGAACGCUGGCGGCAUGCUUUACACAUGCAAGUCGAACGGUAACAGGCCUUCGGGUGCUGACGAGUGGCGAACGGGUGAGUAAUGCAUCGGAACGUACCCAGAGGUGGGGGAUAACGCAGCGAAAGCUGUGCUAAUACCGCAUGUGAUCUGAGGAUGAAAGCGGGGGACCGAGCAGCAAUGUUUGGCCUCGCGCCUUUGGAGCGGCCGAUGUCGGAUUAGCUAGUUGGUGGGGUAAAGGCCUACCAAGGCGGCGAUCCGUAGCUGGUCUGAGAGGCCGGCCAGCCACACUGGGACUGAGACACGGCCCAGACUCCUACGGGAGGCAGCAGUGGGGAAUUUUGGACAAUGGGCGCAAGCCUGAUCCAGCAAUGCCGCGUGCGGGAAGAAGGCCUUCGGGUUGUAAACCGCUUUUGGCAGGAACGAAACGGUGUCCGCUAAUACCGGGCGCUAAUGACGGUACCUGCAGAAUAAGCACCGGCUAACUACGUG